rnacentral:piRNA from 1 species
UGAUGGCUGCUGCAAACCCAGGUA